rnacentral:misc_RNA from 1 species
UGGAAGUAAAAGUCGUAACAAGGUUUCCGUAGGUGAACCUGCGGAAGGAUCAUUAAUGAAUUUUAGGACUCUCUUUUUAGAGGUCCGACCCUUUCAUUUCCAUACACUGUGCACACACUUCUUUUCACACAUUUUAACACUAUAGUAUAAGAAUGUAACAGUCUCUUUAUUGAGCAUAAAUAAAAAUAAAACUUUCAGCAACGGAUCUCUUGGCUCUCGCAUCGAUGAAGAACGCAGCGAAUUGCGAUAAGUAAUGUGAAUUGCAGAAUUCAGUGAAUCAUCGAAUCUUUGAACGCACCUUGCACUCUUUGGUAUUCCGAAGAGUAUGUCUGUUUGAGUGUCAUGAAACUCUCAACCCCCCUAUUUUGUAAUGAGAUGGGCGUGGGCUUGGAUUAUGACUGCUGUCGGCGUAAUUGCCGGCUCAGUUGAAAUACACGAGCAACCCAUUUGAAAUAAACGGCUUGACUCGGCGUAAUAAUUAUUUCGCUGAGGACGUUUUCUUCAAAAGUUAGAGGUGCUUCUAAUGCGCUAUUACAGCACUUUAAAUUUUAGACCUCAAAUCAGUCAGGACUACCCGCUGAACUUAAGCAUAUCAAAA